rnacentral:ncRNA from 1 species
GGAACUCUGGAGAAGCCCACACACAAAACGGGUGCCGAAGGGGCAAAGCGCGUUUCGCGUUAAUCUCUCAGGCAAAAGGACAGAGAGCA